rnacentral:rRNA from 1 species
GACAGAGGUGCCGAGCGUUAGGCGGAAUCACUGGGCUUAAAGCGUGUGUAGGCGGGCGGGCAAGUACCUUGUGAAAUCCCACGGCUCAACCGUGGAACGGCUGGGUAUACUGCCUGUCUUGAGCCAACUAGGGGCGAGCGGAACAGACGGUGGAGCGGUGAAAUGCGUAGAUAUCGUCUGGAACGCCGAAGGUGAAAACAGCUCGCUGGGGUUGUGCUGACGCUGAGACACGAAAGCCAGGGGAGCAAACGGG